rnacentral:rRNA from 1 species
GACGAACGCUGGCGGCGUGCCUAACACAUGCAAGUCGAGCGGGGUUGAAGCGAGGGGUAACUCGAGUUUCUACCUAGCGGCGGACGGGUGAGUAACGCGUGGGCAACCUGCCUCAAGGACUGGGAUAACAGCUCGAAAGGGCUGCUAAUACCGGAUAAGCCUAUGGCCUCGCAUGGGGCCAUGAGCAAAGGGGAAACCCGCCUUGAGAUGGGCCCGCGUCCCAUCAGCUAGUUGGUGAGGUGAAGGCUCACCAAGGCGACGACGGGUAGCCGGCCUGAGAGGGUGACCGGCCACACUGGGACUGAGACACGGCCCAGACUCCUACGGGGGGCAGCAGUGGGGAAUCUUGCACAAUGGGCGAAAGCCUGAUGCAGCGACGCCGCGUGAGCGAAGAAGGCCUUCGGUUGUAAAGCUCUGUCUGGAGGGACGAAGGAAGUGACGGUACCUCCCGGAGGAAGCCACGGCUAACGUACGUG